rnacentral:rRNA from 1 species
AUUGAACGCUGGCGGCAUGCCUUACACAUGCAAGUCGAACGGCAGCACGGGUGCUUGCACCUGGUGGCGAGUGGCGGACGGGUGAGUAAUACAUCGGAACGUACCUUAUCGUGGGGGAUAACGCAGCGAAAGCUGUGCUAAUACCGCAUACGCCCUGAGGGGGAAAGCGGGGGAGCGAAAGACCUCGCGCGAUUAGAGCGGCCGAUGCCUGACUAGCUUGUUGGUGGGGUAAAAGCCCACCAAGGCGACGAUCAGUAGCUGGUCUGAGAGGACGAUCAGCCACACUGGGACUGAGACACGGCCCAGACUCCUACGGGAGGAAGCAGUGGGGAAUUUUGGACAAUGGGGGCAACCCUGAUCCAGCAAUGCCGCGUGAGUGAAGAAGGCCUUCGGGUUGUAAAGCUCUUUUGUCAGGGAAGAAACACCGGCUCUAACACAGUCCGGGGAUGACGGUACCUGAAGAAUAAGCACCGGCUAACUACGUGCCAGCCGCCGCCGUAA